AUGUCUUCUGAUUCUUCCGCGUUGUCUUCUCUACGACCUCUUGAUUCGCCUGUUAAUAUUCUUACCGCCGACGGCACAUCUCUUCCUGUUGCUAGUCGUGGUAUUCUUUCCACUCCAUCUUUUUCUGUUCCGAGUGUUUCACAUGUUCCUCGCCUUACCAUGAAUCUUUUUUUCGCUGCCCAAUUCACUGAUUCUGGUUGUCGUGUCAUUAUUGAUACCGACUCUUGUUCCAUUCAGGAUCGUCGUACCAAGGCUUUGGUUGGUGCUGGCCCCCGGCGCCGUGAGUCAGAGGGCCUUUGGGAGGUUGACUAG
rnacentral:rRNA from 1 species